rnacentral:rRNA from 1 species
UACAGAGGGUGCAAGCGUUGUUCGGAAUUAUUGGGCGUAAAGAGCUCGUAGGCGGCCUGUCGCGUCUGCUGUGAAAUCCCGGGGCUCAACCCCGGGCCUGCAGUGGAUACGGGCUGGCUGGAGGCAGGCAGGGGAGAACGGAAUUCCUGGUGUAGCGGUGAAAUGCGCAGAUAUCAGGAGGAACACCGGUGGCGAAGGCGGUUCUCUGGGCCUGUUCUGACGCUGAGGAGCGAAAGCGUGGGGAGCGAACAGG